UCUGGCUCAGGACGAACGCUGGCGGCGUGCUUAACACAUGCAAGUCGAACGAUGAAGCCCAGCUUGCUGGGUGGAUUAGUGGCGAACGGGUGAGUAACACGUGGGUGAUCUGCCCUGCACUUCGGGAUAAGCCUGGGAAACUGGGUCUAAUACCGGAUAUGACCAAAGGCUGCAUGGUUUUUGGUGGAAAGUUUUUCGGUGCAGGAUGAGCCCGCGGCCUAUCAGCUUGUUGGUGGGGUAAUGGCCUACCAAGGCGACGACGGGUAGCCGGCCUGAGAGGGCGACCGGCCACACUGGGACUGAGACACGGCCCAGACUCCUACGGGAGGCAGCAGUGGGGAAUAUUGCACAAUGGGCGAAAGCCUGAUGCAGCGACGCCGCGUGAGGGAUGACGGCCUUCGGGUUGUAAACCUCUUUCACCAGGGACGAAGCGCAAGUGACGGUACCUGGAGAAGAAGCACCGGCCAACUACGUGCCAGCAGCCGCGGUAAUACGUAGGGUGCGAGCGUUGUCCGGAAUUACUGGGCGUAAAGAGCUCGUAGGCGGUUUGUCGCGUCGUCUGUGAAAUCCCGCAGCUCAACUGCGGGCUUGCAGGCGAUACGGGCAAACUCGAGUACUGCAGGGGAGACUGGAAUUCCUGGUGUAGCGGUGAAAUGCGCAGAUAUCAGGAGGAACACCGGUGGCGAAGGCGGGUCUCUGGGCAGUAACUGACGCUGAGGAGCGAAAGCGUGGGUAGCGAACAGGAUUAGAUACCCUGGUAGUCCACGCCGUAAACGGUGGGCGCUAGGUGUGGGUUUCCUUCCACGGGAUCCGUGCCGUAGCUAACGCAUUAAGCGCCCCGCCCUG
rnacentral:rRNA from 1 species